AGUGAACGCUGGCGGUAGGCCUAACACAUGCAAGUAGAACGGCAGCACAGUAAGAGCUUGCUCUUACGGGUGGCGAGUGGCGGACGGGUGAGGAAUACAUCGGAAUCUACUUUUUCGUGGGGGAUAACGUAGGGAAACUUACGCUAAUACCGCAUACGACCUACGGGUGAAAGCAGGGGAUCUUCGGACCUUGCGCGAUUGAAUGAGCCGAUGUCGGAUUAGCUAGUUGGCGGGGUAAAGGCCCACCAAGGCGACGAUCCGUAGCCGGUCUGAGAGGAUGAUCAGCCACACUGGAACUGAGACACGGUCCAGACUCCUACGGGAGGCAGCAGUGGGGAAUAUUGGACAAUGGGCGCAAGCCUGAUCCAGCCAUACCGCGUGGGUGAAGAAGGCCUUCGGGUUGUAAAGCCCUUUUGUUGGGAAAGAAAAGCAGCAGGUUAAUACCCCGCUGUUCUGACGGUACCCAAAGAAUAAGCACCGGCUAACUUCGUG
rnacentral:rRNA from 1 species